CGGGCAACCACUAGUGAGGGGGAGCUAGGGUCCACUCGAGUUUUGGGAACGCCACAUCACCUCGUCUCCUCUUCAGCCAGGCAGACCCUGCCAGGAGGGCGAGGGCGAAGCGUGCGGCCCGAGGAGCCCGGCGUUCUUAGGAGAAUGGCGAGUAGCAGAAUUGCUGGUUUGUGGCUGCUGAGCAGCUAAGAUCAUGCAGUGAUGUUUGCUGUUCUUGAUUGUAGCUGAGCAAGGGACCACAGCCUGCUGACCAUAAGACAUUCCCAGCUGUCGAGGCAGCCUCCAUUUGCACAGGAUGUGGAUUCUCAUCCCCGGAUGCCUGAGAGAUAAGUCGAGGGCUAAGGCCCACAGAGGGGAUGAAGGCAAUGUACUGGGAGGUCCUAUUGAAUCAGCUCUGGGGGCGGGCAUGUGCAAGAAGGGUCCCCUUAGGCCACCUAAAGGGAAAAUGUCUGUUUUGAUCUCGGUGCUGAGGUGUGCUGGGCAGAGCAGUUCCGGUGUGUGUCCUGGCACUUGUCUCUGGUGCACUCUGUGUUGUUUGGGUCUCUCGGUCCUUUCUUCUCAUCAAAAGCUUUCUCUCCCUCUCCUGUCCCCUCGUUUGUCACGUCCUGUCCCGUGUCACGGGUGUCCUGUCCUGUCUCCCGGCGGUGCUCUGCCCUGCUGCCUAGCCCGUAAUAGCACAAGUCCUGGGGACUUGAAAUGGGUAAUGCAGGGUGUAUUUGAGCUCUAGAUUGUAUUAGGAGAUUGACGUAAGAUGUUUGGUGCUGUUAAGUUGUCUUGCAGCCUUUUAACACUAGUCCUAACUUCCUUUCAGAUGCUGACAGUUCAAAUCUGUGGCAGCGGAGUCCCAAUCCUGGGUGAGGAAUUUCCGUCAGCUGGUCAGUCAUUGUUUGCCUUUGCAGGGGAAGCCUAAAUGGUGACUGUGUUACAGCAGUGUUCUUUGCCUUUAUUUUUAGGAGGUCCGGGCAGAUAGCAGAAGUCAAGGUCCAGUGUACCAGGUGAGCAGAGGUCAGAAGCAGUUGUUCUUGCUCAGGUUUCAGUUUUUAUUGCAGCUGUAAGCAUCCUUUCUCCUUUUUGUGCUUUAGGGAAUCGACCUGGAGUACACAUACCUCUGUCACCAACUGGCUGAAGGACCCGGUUUCAUGCGCUUGUGGUCUCGGUGGAAGUAUUCCAGGACCCUGUGAUGAAACCUUCCAAUUUUGCAUGUCAAGGUCCCAUCCUGGUAGCCCAGAGGAAUGGCCGAGGAGUUGCAGUGAGUCGGGGGGGUAGGGAGGAGGAGGAGUGGGAGUCCACUCAUGUUUGAGCAAUGCUAUGUCGCCUUGUCUCCACUGAACUUAGGUGUACCCUGCAAUGACGGCGUCAGAAUCCAAGCACGCCCGAAGUGUGCUGGCCGGAGAACCUGGGCAUUCUGAGGAGAAUGACCAAGAGAGAACGGCCUGGGGACAACUGGAACUCCCCAGACAGGCUGGAGGCCUCACCCGAUGGGGAUUUGCAUCCCAGGAUAUGUGCAAGAUAAGUCCAGGGCUACAACCCAGAGAGGGGAUGGAAGAGAGGUGCCAGGGACUCCCCAGGAAGGGUUUUUGAGUCAGAUUUGGAGAUGGGGAUGUGCAAGAAGCGUCUCCUUAGGCCACCUGAAGGGAAAAUGUCUGUUUUGAUCUCGGUGCUGAGGUGUGCUGGGCAGAGCAGUUCCGGUGUGUGUCCUGGCACUUGUCUCUGGUGCACUCUGUGUUGUUUGGGUCUCUCGGUCCUUUCUUCUCAUCAAAAGCUCUCUCUCCCUCUCCUGUCCCCUCGUUUGUCACGUCCUGUCCCGUGUCACGGGUGUCCUGUCCUGUCUCCCGGCGGUGCUCUGCCCUGCUGCCUAGCCCGUAAUAGCACAAGUCCUGGGGACUUGAAAUGGGUAAUGCAGGGUGUAUUUGAGCUCUAGAUUGUAUUAGGAGAUUGACGUAAGAUGUUUGGUGCUGUUAAGUUGUCUUGCAGCCUUUUAACACUAGUCCUAACUUCCUUUCAGAUGCUGACAGUUCAAAUCUGUGGCAGCGGAGUCCCAAUCCUGGGUGAGGAACUUCCGUCAGCUGGUCAGUCAUUGUUUGCCUUUGCAGGGGAAGCCUAAAUGGUGACUGUGUUACAGCAGUGUUCUUUGCCUUUAUUUUUAGGAGGUCCGGGCAGAUAGCAGAAGUCAAGGUCCAGUGUGCCAGGGAAUCGACCUGGAGUACACAUACCUCUGUCACCAACUGGCUGAAGGACCCGGUUUCAUGCGCUUGUGGUCUCGGUGGAAGUAUUCCAGGACCCUGUGAUGAAACCUUCCAAUUUUGCAUGUCAAGGUCCCAUCCUGGUAGCCCAGAGGAAUGGCCGAGGAGUUGCAGUGAGUCGGGGGGGUAGGGAGGAGGAGGAGUGGGAGUCCACUCAUGUUUGAGCAAUGCUAUGUCGCCUUGUCUCCACUGAACUUAGGUGUACCCUGCAAUGACGGCGUCAGAAUCCAAGCACGCCCGAAGUGUGCUGGCCGGAGAACCUGGGCAUUCUGAGGAGAAUGGUGAGUAGCAGAAUUAUCAGGUUUGGUCCAAUGUGCUGUUAAGACUGUGCACUGAUGUUUGGUUUUCUUUCUCUGGUCAGACUUAGAGAGAACGGCCUGGGGACAACUGGAACUCCCCAGACAGGCUGGAGGCCUCACCCGAUGGGGAUUUGCAUCCCAGGAUAUGUGCAAGAUAAGUCCAGGGCUACAACCCAGAGAGGGGAUGGAAGAGAGGUGCCAGGGACUCCCCAGGAAGGGUUUUUGAGUCAGAUUUGGAGAUGGGGAUGUGCAAGAAGCGU